UUGAACUGAAGAGUUUGAUCCUGGCUCAGAUUGAACGCUGGCGGCAUGCCUUACACAUGCAAGUCGAACGGCAGCACGGGCUUCGGCCUGGUGGCGAGUGGCGAACGGGUGAGUAAUACAUCGGAACAUGUCCUGUAGUGGGGGAUAGCCCGGCGAAAGCCGGAUUAAUACCGCAUACGAUCUACGGAUGAAAGCGGGGGACCUUCGGGCCUCGCGCUAUAGGGUUGGCCGAUGGCUGAUUAGCUAGUUGGUGGGGUAAAGGCCUACCAAGGCGACGAUCAGUAGCUGGUCUGAGAGGACGACCAGCCACACUGGGACUGAGACACGGCCCAGACUCCUACGGGAGGCAGCAGUGGGGAAUUUUGGACAAUGGGGGCAACCCUGAUCCAGCAAUGCCGCGUGUGUGAAGAAGGCCUUCGGGUUGUAAAGCACUUUUGUCCGGAAAGAAAUCCUUGG
rnacentral:rRNA from 1 species